CAGUCGCCGCGGUAAUACGAGGGGUGCAAGCGUUAUUCGGAUUGAUUGGGUGUAAAGGGUGUGCAGACGGCUUAUUAAGUCACUUGUUAAAUUCUUCGGCCUAACUGAAGGUCUGCAAGUGAUACUGAUGAGCUAGAGGGUGGAAGAGAGAAGUGGAAUUCUCGGAGUAGCGGUAAAAUGCGUAGAUCUCGAGAGGCACACCAAUGGCGAAGGCAGCUUCUUGGUCCAUUCCUGACGUUCAUACACGAAAGCGUGGGGAGCAAACAGGAUUAGAUACCCCCGUAGUCCCUGUCUCUUAUAC
rnacentral:rRNA from 1 species